GACGAACGCUGGCGGCGUGCUUAACACAUGCAAGUCGAACGGAAAGGCCCUGCUUUUGUGGGGUGCUCGAGUGGCGAACGGGUGAGUAACACGUGAGUAACCUGCCCUUGACUUUGGGAUAACUUCAGGAAACUGGGGCUAAUACCGGAUAGGAGCUCCUGCUGCAUGGUGGGGGUUGGAAAGUUUCGGCGGUUGGGGAUGGACUCGCGGCUUACCAGCUUGUUGGUGGGGUAGUGGCUUACCAAGGCUUUGACGGGUAGCCGGCCUGAGAGGGUGACCGGCCACAUUGGGACUGAGAUACGGCCCAGACUCCUACGGGAGGCAGCAGUGGGGAAUAGUGCACAAUGGGCGGAAGCCUGAUGCAGCAACGCCGCGUGCGGGAUGACGGCCUUCGGGUUGUAAACCGCUUUCGCCUGUGACGAAGCGUGAGUGACGGUAAUGGGUAAAGAAGCACCGGCUAACUACGU
rnacentral:rRNA from 1 species